GAUGAACGCUGGCGGCGUGCCUAAUACAUGCAAGUCGAGCGCAGCGGGGGCGGGUGAGUAACACGUGGAUAACCUCCUAUACGUCUGGGAUAACUUCGGGAAACCGGAGCUAAACCGGAUACUUAGAGGUCGAUGCGCGCUGGAUUAGCUAGUUGGUAAGGUAACGGCUUACCAAGGCCACGAUGCAUAGCCGACCUGAGAGGGUGAUCGGCCACACUGGAACUGAGACACGGCCCAGACUCCUACGGGAGGCAGCAGUAGGGAAUCUUCCGCAAUGGGCGAAAGCCUGACGGAGCAACGCCGCGUGAGUGAAGAAGGUCUUCGGAUCGUAAAACUCUGUUAUUAGGGAAGCGGUACCUAACCAGAAAGCCACGGCUAACUACGUGCCAGCAGCCGCGGUAAUUC
rnacentral:rRNA from 1 species